GCCUGGCUGGCUCAGUCAGCAGAGCAUGUGACUCUUGAUCUCAAGGUUGUAAGUUUGCAUCCCACGUUGGGUG
rnacentral:tRNA from 1 species